UAUUAAGCCGUUUACACUGUUCUACUUCAUCAUCACAAUACUGUUGCUACGGCUGUGGCCGUCUUCAAAAUAGGUGGCAGAUUUGUUAUUCCUUCACCUCACUCCUGGGUUCAUUACGGCUACGACGAAAGAGAACGCGUGAGAAAAGGGGCUUCAACACAUAUUUUAUCUAACGUUGCAAUCUGGCAUUGCUGCUUUAUGCUCUUGGUUCCUUUAACGGAUUGACAGUGGGUGACUUGGUGCAAUUCUGAUCUGCUCUAGCAGUUCAGAUACUACUAUCAAGCAUUUGGAAGCUACGGUAGUAACUAAUAGGUUGGAUAUGGAGAGCUUGAACUCGAAGUUGGAAGAGUUGCAUUGUGUGUCUUCAUCUUUAAUGAAGCUGGACGUGAAUGCACAUCAACACAUAUAAUUGGUACUAAAGACUGCAGGUCUCUUUUAGCUGCACUACAUAUUGGCCUUUCUCAUGCCUUUUUGAAAAGUUAACUGAAAUAUGUUCACACUUUUGUCGUGCUACUUUUUUAGGAUUACCCAAUAUCAGUUAAACUUCUUCCAUCCCUUCAAUGGCUUUUGGUAUCUAUUAUCUAGAUGUAUUUCAACUUGGAUGUUGCAGAUACAUACAUACUAUCUUUUGUUA